rnacentral:rRNA from 1 species
UACGUAGGGGGCGAGCGUUGUCCGGAAUUAUUGGGCGUAAAGAGCUCGUAGGCGGUUUGGCAAGUCGGGUGUGAAAUCUCCGAGCUCAACUCGGAGAGGCCACUCGAGACUGUUAUGACUAGAGUCCGGUAGGGGACCAUGGAAUUCCUGGUGUAGCGGUGAAAUGCGCAGAUAUCAGGAGGAACACCGGUGGCGAAGGCGGAUCUCUGGGCCUUACCUGACGCUGAGGCGCGAAAGCUAGGGGAGCAAACAGG